rnacentral:tRNA from 1 species
AUUUGGGUAGCUUAAAUUAGAGCUAAGUCUUGAAAGGACUUAGGUGAACACAGUUCCCUAAAUA